GAUGAACGCUGGCGGCGUGCCUAACACAUGCAAGUCGAGCGAUCUUCUUCGGAAGAGAGCGGCGGACGGGUGAGUAACGCGUGGGUAACCUGCCUCAUACACAUGGAUAACAUACCGAAAGGUAUGCUAAUACAAGAUGAUAUAAGAGAUUCGCAUGGAUUUCUUAUCAAAGCUCCGGCGGUAUGAGAUGGACCCGCGUCUGAUUAGCUAGGUGGUAAGGUAACGGCGUACCAAGGCGACGAUCAGUAGCCGACCGGAGAGGGUGAUCGGCCACAUUGGAACUGAGACACGGUCCAAACUCCUACGGGAGGCAGCAGUGGGGAAUAUUGCACAAUGGGCGAAAGCCUGAUGCAGCAACGCCGCGUGAGCGAUGAAGGCCUUCGGGUCGUAAAGCUCUGUCCUCGAGGAAGAUAAUGACGGUACUUGAGGAGGAAGCCCCGGCUAACUACGUGCCAGCCGCCGCAGUAAGAC
rnacentral:rRNA from 1 species